rnacentral:lncRNA from 1 species
CCCACACAGUUUAUAAAGGGCAAGAUCUUUGCCCAAAAUCCACCAAUUCAAAUAUUAAUCUCAUUCAAAUACACUCUCACAGAAACAUCCAGAGCAAUGUUAGGUCAAGUAUCUGAGCUCCAUAGCCCAGCCAAAUUGACCCAUGGAAGUAACCAUCACAGCCUACAAACAUGCUCACUUUGUUACCUGUCCUCCAACUGAGGUAAGAGAGAAAAGAAAGAAAGAGGGGGUGGGGAGGCAAACAGGGAACUUUAAAUGUAAAACCUCCACCAACACCUUCACCUUAACUGCACAGGCCUGUUUUGCUCCAGGCCUAAAUUCUUAAAAAUGUCCAAAAAUCUUAAAAGUAUAGCAAGUCUAGUUAAUUUGUGCCUCUACCCCUAUUUGCUUACAGGAUAUAUUUUUGCACUGAUUAAAAGAGGCCUAGAGAGAAAAAUUGUUAAAAGACCCAUGAUAUGGGUACAGUCCAAGCACUGGGUAUUAACCAGAUAAUAUCAACCUAAAGAAUCUGAAAAGAAUCAGACCAGUGUGGUCCACUUGCUCCACCACCAAAGGAAUCGAGCUCGUCAACAUGAAGUUGCCCCCUUAGACCACUUAUAAGGUUUCCUUUAAAAGGAGAAGGCUGAGACCCCCAAACCUUGUCUCUUUCUUGAGCGCCAUUGUACUUCUUUCUUUGAGUGUGUAUGCUGUUGUUUUAUUUGUUUUGCUGAGUAAAUUUCUCCCUCUUCUUUAGAUGCACCCUGAAAUUCCUUUCUCUGGUAUAACUAGAGAACCUGCCAGGGCUGAGUUGAGGUCCCCUUGUCCCUUCUAAGGACCUCCUCAGACCUCAUUUGGUGACAAGACCAAAACAGCUACAAGUUCCACAAUUAUAACAAUAACAACUGUCAACAUAUUUUGACCUCCUCCCUCCCAAGCUACAGCUCUGUUCUUCUCCUGCCUUUAAUGACUAAUUUGAGUAAACAUUGAGGAGGCUGGCCUACUAGAAGUUACGUAUGCACACAUGUGUGAAUAGAUUCACUGUGUACUAGUGAUAAGUCCACGUGGAGAAGUCCAGUGAGAGUAAACACUGACAUGAGUUAAGUGAUACAAUUUUAUCACUCACAGAUAGUCAACCAGGGACACUACACUAGAAGCCUAGGACUCAUGCAAGCCACUCUUCCAAGGCUGAGGAAGGCUGCCUGGGUGGAUGGAGGUUCAUCUGUGCAUGCCCAUGUCACACUGCAGUUGAAGGACCCUGAACUCAUUCUGCUUUGGGGUUUUUUUUCUAGCCUAGAAGUCACUUGGUUCACUGAGCUGAAUAUGUAAGACAUCAUCUUCUUGGAGGGAUGAAGACAAAGCCUGGGCUAUUCUGGAUAUUUCCUCCUUAUCUCAGGGUGCUGCAUUCACAGUAAAUUCUAACAGCUACCUAACAGGUGGAAGAGGGCAGAGCUGAGUGGGCAGAAGUCAUCUUGGACCUGUUCUGCUGCAAUGUGGGGUGGGAGGCGUUUCUCUGCUUUAGUACUUAUGGUGCCCAAAGUUACUCUGGUUUCACUGAAGAU